rnacentral:rRNA from 1 species
UACGUAGGGUGCGAGCGUUAAUCGGAAUUACUGGGCGUAAAGCGUGCGCAGGCGGUUAUGCAAGACAGAUGUGAAAUCCCCGGGCUCAACCUGGGAACUGCAUUUGUGACUGCAUAGCUAGAGUACGGUAGAGGGGGAUGGAAUUCCGCGUGUAGCAGUGAAAUGCGUAGAUAUGCGGAGGAACACCGAUGGCGAAGGCAAUCCCCUGGACCUGUACUGACGCUCAUGCACGAAAGGCGUGGGGAGCAAACAGG